rnacentral:rRNA from 1 species
GUGGGGAAUAUUGGACAAUGGGCGCAAGCCUGAUCCAGCCAUACCGCGUGGGUGAAGAAGGCCUUCGGGUUGUAAAGCCCUUUUGUUGGGAAAGAAAUCCUUUGGGUUAAUACCUCGGAGGGAUGACGGUACCUGAAGAAUAAGCACCGGCUAACUACGUGCCAGCAGCCGCGGUAAUACGUAGGGUGCGAGCGUUAAUCGGAAUUACUGGGCGUAAAGCGUGCGCAGGCGGUUUUGUAAGAUCGAUGUGAAAUCCCCGGGCUCAACCUGGGAACUGCAUUGGUGACUGCAAGGCUGGAGUGCGGCAGAGGGGGAUGGAAUUCCGCGUGUAGCAGUGAAAUGCGUAGAUAUGCGGAGGAACACCAAUGGCGAAGGCAAUCCCCUGGGCCUGUACUGACGCUCAUGCACGAAAGCGUGGGGAGCAAACAGGAUUAGAAACCCCAGUAGUCC